rnacentral:tRNA from 1 species
GACUGCGUAGCUCAAUCGGAUAGAGCGUCGCGCUUCGAACGCGAAGGUUGGGGGUUCGAGUCCCUCCGCGGUCGCCA